CACGAACUGGGUAUCUUUAUCUCUCUUGUGCGAAAUCAUGAGAGAAUCAGGAACAUUGAUGGGGUUUUUUCCGAUCAAUAUGAGCCGAGAGAUUCCAGGAGAGGAGAGGAGAAGCUGGAGAUGACCGGACUCGGUGGAGAAAAUCCAGUCUGAUUCGCGGUUUUCAGGGACAAAAAGAGCGGCGACAAAGAGCGAGUCGCUGGGUUGGAUGGGUGAAUCUAGAACGGCCACACGAAGAAGGUGGGUGUGGAGAGUAGGGUGAGGGAUAGUGAAAGAGAGGAAGCGAGAGGGGAUUAUGGUUUCAAAGAUCGUAACGUCAAGAGCCAUGGAGUUUGUUUGUUUGAUUUGUUCUUGUUGCAGAACGAAGAGGGAAAAUGAUAGAAAAUUUGAAAUUGAUGGGAGCCCCUGUGCUAAUGCGCUCUUAAGAUAUUUAUGGGGUACGCAAAAACUAGUCAACUGAACCUCACAUAAGCUUCAAUUCAACUGAUUAAUGAUCAGCACCAAUAUGAUUUCAAAAUUCAGAGAUUCAGA
rnacentral:misc_RNA from 1 species